CAGCCGCCGCGGGAAUACCGAGGGUGCAAGCGUUAAUCGGAAUUACUGGGCGUAAAGCGUGCGCAGGCGGUGUUGUAAGACUGAUGUGAAAUCCCCGGGCUCAACCUGGGAACUGCAUUGGUGACUGCAACGCUGGAGUGCGGCAGAGGGGGAUGGAAUUCCGCGUGUAGCAGUGAAAUGCGUAGAUAUGCGGAGGAACACCGAUGGCGAAGGCAAUCCCCUGGGCCUGCACUGACGCUCAUGCACGAAAGCGUGGGGAGCAAACAGGAUUAGAUACCCCCGUAGUCCCUGUCUCUUAUAC
rnacentral:rRNA from 1 species